rnacentral:ncRNA from 1 species
UGUGUAUUGCGGGGGGACCAUUUUGGUUGAGAAGGUUAAAACCUGACCCUUUGAACUUGAUGUAGUUAAUACUACCGUAGGGAAGCAAAACUAGUAUUUAA